rnacentral:lncRNA from 1 species
AACCUUUCUAGCCAUCCCGUUAUUAUUAUUAUCCAUUGUUUUACCCUGUUGAGCCUGUUAAUCAUUUAUUUUUUAUAUACCCGUUUUUUCUAAAGCCAUGACCUUGUACCUAUCCUACCUUGUUCAGAGUAUGUGAGGAUUGAUUUCAUCUCUACGUUUCUAUCUAAGUUUGGGGUUGCUGUUGGAAUAACAACCUUUAAGUUUGGGGUAGCUUGGCAGUACGUGAAUAGUAAGUGAAUGUAGUAUAAAAGAAAAAAAAGAAAAAAAAAGGAGAAAGAAAAAGAAAAAAAAAAGGGAAAAACAACAACAACAUGAAAAGAAAGAAAGAGAAAAGCGAAAAACAAUAAAAGAACAGCUUUUGAAAAAUGCUACAUUCACUAUAGAUAAAAGGAAAAGAGGAUUGCAAAACCCUACAUGAAUAAUAGGAAAGAAACGUAGUGAGAGAAUUAUUUCAUGUACUCUGAACCAAAAGACCCAAAAACCGUUGUUCCAAUUUCAUACCCUACCUA